rnacentral:rRNA from 1 species
AACGAACGCUGGCGGCAUGCUUAGCACAUGCAAGUCGAACGAGACCUUCGGGUCUAGUGGCGCACGGGUGCGUAACGCGUGGGAAUCUGCCCUUAGGUACGGAAUAACUCAGAGAAAUUUGUGCUAAUACCGUAUGAUGUCGAAAGACCAAAGAUUUAUCGCCUAAGGAUGAGCCCGCGUAAGAUUAGCUUGUUGGUGAGGUAAAAGCUCACCAAGGCGACGAUCUUUAGCUGGUCUGAGAGGAUGAUCAGCCACACUGGGACUGAGACACGGCCCAGACUCCUACGGGAGGCAGCAGUGGGGAAUAUUGGACAAUGGGCGAAAGCCUGAUCCAGCAAUGCCGCGUGAGUGAUGAAGGCCUUAGGGUUGUAAAGCUCUUUUACCAGGGAUGAUAAUGACAGUACCUGGAGAAUAAGCUCCGGCUAACUCCGUGCCAGCAGCCGCCGUAAGAC